AUUGAACGCUGGCGGCAUGCCUUACACAUGCAAGUCGAACGGUAACGCGGGGCAACCUGGCGACGAGUGGCGAACGGGUGAGUAAUGCAUCGGAACGUGCCCAGUAGUGGGGGAUAGCCCGGCGAAAGCCGGAUUAAUACCGCAUACGACCUACGGGUGAAAGCGGGGGACCGUAAGGCCUCGCGCUAUUGGAGCGGCCGAUGUCAGAUUAGGUUGUUGGUGGGGUAAAAGCCUACCAAGCCGACGAUCUGUAGCUGGUCUGAGAGGACGACCAGGCAAACUGGGACCGGGGACCCGGCCCGAACCCUUACGGGGGGAGGAGGUGGGGAUUUUGGACAAUGGGGGCAACCCUUGUUCCAGCAUGGCCGGUGCGGGAAGGAGGCCUUUGGGUUGGUAACCGGUUUUGGCAGGGAAAGAACGCUCUUGGCUAAUACCCCCGGGGAAUGACGGUACCUGAAGAAUAAGCACCGGCUAACUACGUGCCAGCCGCCGCAGUAACAC
rnacentral:rRNA from 1 species